rnacentral:rRNA from 1 species
GGGGAAUAUUGCACAAUGGAGGAAACUCUGAUGCAGCGACGCCGCGUGAGUGAAGAAGUAUUUCGGUAUGUAAAGCUCUUUCGGCAGGGAAGAUAAUGACGGUACCUGCAGAAGAAGCACCGGCUAAAUACGUGCCAGCAGCCGCGGUAAUACGUAUGGUGCAAGCGUUAUCCGGAUUUAUUGGGUUUAAAGGGAGCACAGGCCGGCUGUCAAGCGUGUUGUGAAAUGUAGGGGCUCAACCUCUGAACUGCAGCGCGAACUGACGGUCUUGAGUGCGCACAACGUUGGCGGAAUUCGUCGUGUAGCGGUGAAAUGCUUAGAUAUGACGAAGAACUCCGAUUGCGAAGGCAGCUGACGGGAGCGUUACUGACGCUUAAGCUCGAAAGUGCGGGUAUCGAACAGGAUUAGAUACCCUGUAGU